rnacentral:rRNA from 1 species
UACAGGGGGGGCAAGCGUUGUUCGGAAUUACUGGGCGUAAAGGGCUCGUAGGCGGCCAACUAAGUCAGACGUGAAAUCCCUCAGCUUAACUGGGGAACUGCGUCUGAUACUGGAUGGCUUGGAUUCGGGAGAGGGAUGCGGAAUUCCAGGUGUAGCGGUGAAAUGCGUAGAUAUCUGGAGGAACACCGGUGGCGAAGGCGGCAUUCUGGACCGACAUUGACGCUGAGGAGCGAAAGCCAGGGGAGCAAACGGG